rnacentral:tRNA from 1 species
ACUAGGAUGGCCAACUGGUAAUGGCGUUGGACUUAAAAUCCAGUGGACGUAUGUCCUUGUUGGUUUGUUCCCUACUCCUGGUA